ACACUGGAAACACUCAGGUCAUAAAAGCACACUGAAUACCUUGGCAGAAACUGUUGGUUAGCCAUCAAAAUUUCAUCUUCCCCUCUUCCAUGUAAAGAUCAGCCAGGGAAGACUACAUUUCCCAGCCUCCACUCCAGCCAGCUCAAGAUCCUAGGCUCUGAACACAUCCACAUCUUCUAGGAUGGUAGAAAAGGAAAUAAAAUACAGGGGAAAAAAUGGUAGAGCUGAAAAAGAAGUCAAACCCACCCAAAUCCCACCACCAACAAUAAUAAUAGCUACUGUUUUACUGAG